CCUAAUACAUGCAAGUCGAACGAACUUCCGUUAAUUGAUUAUGACGUGCUUGCACUGAAUGAGAUUUUAACACGAAGUGAGUGGCGGACGGGUGAGUAACACGUGGGUAACCUGCCCAGAAGCAGGGGAUAACACCUGGAAACAGAUGCUAAUACCGUAUAACAGAGAAAACCGCCUGGUUUUCUUUUAAAAGAUGGCUCUGCUAUCACUUCUGGAUGGACCCGCGGCGCAUUAGCUAGUUGGUGAGGUAACGGCUCACCAAGGCGAUGAUGCGUAGCCGACCUGAGAGGGUAAUCGGCCACAUUGGGACUGAGACACGGCCCAGACUCCUACGGGAGGCAGCAGUAGGGAAUCUUCCACAAUGGACGCAAGUCUGAUGGAGCAACGCCGCGUGAGUGAAGAAGGGUUUCGGCUCGUAAAGCUCUGUUGUUAAAGAAGAACGUGGGUGAGAGUAACUGUUCACCCAGUGACGGUAUUUAACCAGAAAGCCACGGCUAACUACGUGCCAGCAGCCGCGGUAAUACGUAGGUGGCAAGCGUUAUCCGGAUUUAUUGGGCGUAAAGCGAGCGCAGGCGGUCUUUUAAGUCUAAUGUGAAAGCCUUCGGCUCAACCGAAGAAGUGCAUUGGAAACUGGGAGACUUGAGUGCAGAAGAGGACAGUGGAACUCCAUGUGUAGCGGUGAAAUGCGUAGAUAUAUGGAAGAACACCAGUGGCGAAGGCGGCUGUCUGGUCUGUAACUGACGCUGAGGCUCGAAAGCAUGGGUAGCGAACAGGAUUAGAUACCCUGGUAGUCCAUGCCGUAAACGAUGAUUACUAAGUGUUGGAGGGUUUCCGCCCUUCAGUGCUGCAGCUAACGCAUUAAG
rnacentral:rRNA from 1 species